CCCGAGUGGCAACAAAAUUACAGAUUUCCCUCCAUGAGCAGGAGGGAAAUCUCAUAAUUAACGGUGUUUAUAGACCUGUUGAUACAUUGAUCACCAAAAACAAAGCAGAAAAAGAAAGCAGUAAAAGGGUCUAUCUUGCUAAUCAGAACAAUAACAGGCAAAUACGUUUCCUCCACUUGCAUGCGAUGAGAACUCGAGUUUCUGAACCAUCAGCCUGGAACACAUCGCAGAUCCCGGCAGACUUAUAAAUGCAGUCAGCUUCCACUAGCAAUAAUAGCAAAGAUAAGUGCUUCAACCGAGGCAAGUCAGUUCCCUGCGAAGAACAGGCAUGGUAAAGGGAAAGAAUUGAAAACUAACUACUACAAACAGCACAAAAGAGAUCCAAACAGCGAUUAAAGGAUUAGUCCGAGGCAAAACAGUCAACGUUCAAACAAAAACCAUUAGCAAAAGACUUUAGAUGGAGAAGGUUGAAGGGGUUAUGGGUUUAGAGCUCCCUUCAAUCCAAAAAGGGAUCUAACAUUAGGCAAUAAAGCUCCUGAGAUAUGCAAGCCGCAAACCUAUCCUUCAGCUGAUAGAUAGGGCUGUGGAUCCAUAGCUUAGCAGCUUAAUCUACCCAGCAAGAACCUCUAUUGGACUUCAAGGAGCUCCACUCCCUAAUCCAUCACCCAUCUCGGAUUUAAAGAUUUACAGUACCCACCAAAACCCUAACAUAUAGACACGACUAACCAAGAACAGACAAAGAAACUCGUGCAUAAACAACAACCCUAACACCAUAUUCUCCUCUAUAUAUCAGUUAUACUACAAAUAUAUUUAUAGAUCUGAUUGACCUCACUGUACAUCUGUCCUAACCCUAGAAAAGACGACAUCUUAAAGGAAAAGCAGAUAUGAGAAAAUAAGAGAGGUGCAGAAGCGAGGGCCUAGUUAUGUUCACUAACUAGUAUUGAAUCCAUUGAAAAUAAAAAGAAAAGGAAACAAGAAGAAAAGGGUUCAAAGAGAAAGAAACACAGAACAGUUUCAACUUCGUAUCUAAACGUAGUCGCAUGUUUUCUUCAUUCUUAAAGCCACCGGCUACAAGUAUGAGACGAACUCGGCAUGUGAAGAUGACCACUCCAUGAGAACAUGAACUUGUGAGCAAACCCUACACAACUAAUAAUAGUUUAUCUGCGAAGACUCUUCAAUGCUACCUUUUAUAGACAUCUACAAAUAGUAGAAAAAAAACACCUAGAUAGCCUGUUUGAAGCACCCAUCUACCCUAAUGUCUAAAAACAACUAUUUUUUAGCGCGGUAACCAUUAAAAAUGACCUUAGGUUAAAAGAGGAGGAUGCCUUUUUUGUAGUGGUUAGACUUGAUUAAUA
rnacentral:lncRNA from 1 species